CUUUCUUCUUCAGAUUAUCAAAAAAAUCAUACAUUUUCUUCUGUCAUAUAAUUCUUCUCUUUCAAUACUUCACCAAAAGAACAAUCAAUUGUUCUAAAGAAGACGAUCCAGUGGUGAAGAACAGACAGCGAUGAAAGCGUAGACGAUCUAGUGGUGAAGAACAACGACGGCGAAUCAGUUAAAGCAUCAUCGUGUCGGGAAAAAGAGAGGAGAUGAAGAUGAUCUCUAUAUGGUGGUGAACGAAAUGAAUGUGUAUCAGCCUGUCUAAAAAAAGAAGAAUUGAAGAAGAUGAAUUCGCCGUCUAUACUAUAUUUGGUGAAAUGAAUAGUAUAGUAUAUAUUUUUAAGUGUAGCUACUUAUGUACGGUUACCAUACUAUUUGAGACAUAUUUCUAUACUACUCCUUAAAAAUGUAAUAAUAUAUCAUGUUUUUAAAUUUGAUAGGUCUCUUCUUUGUCAAUUUGUGUGAUUGAUUGUAAUAUGAAAUUCAUUUUUCGAGUGUUGGACAAAUUUGAUUAUUUGGAACAUUCGUUAAGUAUACUACUUAGACUAUAUGGAAUAUAAGAUAUGCAA